rnacentral:rRNA from 1 species
UGGGGAAUUUUGGACAAUGGGCGAAAGCCUGAUCCAGCAAUGCCGCGUGUGUGAAGAAGGCCUUCGGGUUGUAAAGCACUUUUGUCCGGAAAGAAAUCCUUGGCUCUAAUACAGUCGGGGGAUGACGGUACCGGAAGAAUAAGCACCGGCUAACUACGUGCCAGCAGCCGCGGUAAUACGUAGGGUGCAAGCGUUAAUCGGAAUUACUGGGCGUAAAGCGUGCGCAGGCGGUUUGCUAAGACCGAUGUGAAAUCCCCGGGCUCAACCUGGGAACUGCAUUGGUGACUGGCAGGCUAGAGUAUGGCAGAGGGGGGUAGAAUUCCACGUGUAGCAGUGAAAUGCGUAGAGAUGUGGAGAAUACCGAUGGCGAAGGCAGCCCCCUGGGCCAAUACUGACGCUCAUGCACGAAAGCGUGGGGAGCAAACAGGAUUAGAUACCCUGGUAGUCCACGCCCUAAACGAUGUCAACUAGUUGUUGGGGAUUCAUUUCCUUAGUAACGUAGCUAACGCGUGAAGUUGACCGCCUGGGGAGUACGGUCGCAAGAUUAAAACUUAAAGGAAUUGACGGGGUCAUAGCUGUUUCCU